GACAGAGGGUGCAAACGUUGCUCGGAAUCACUGGGCGUAAAGGGCGUGUAGGCGGGUAGGCAAGUCGGGCGUGAAAUCUCCGGGCUUAACCCGGAAAGGUCAGCCGAUACUGCGGGGCUAGAGUGCAGAAGGGGCAACUGGAAUUCUCGGUGUAGCGGUGAAAUGCGCAGAUAUCAGGAGGAACACCGGUGGCGAAGGCGGGUCUCUGGGCCGUAACUGACGCUGAGACGCGAAAGCGUGGGAAGCGAACAGG
rnacentral:rRNA from 1 species